rnacentral:rRNA from 1 species
UCAGCAGCCGCGGUAAUACGUAGAGGGCGAGCGUUGUCCGGAAUUACUGGGCGUAAAGGGUACGCAGGCGGAUAUAUAAGUCAAAUGUGAAAACCAACGGCUCAACCGUUGAGUUGCAUUUGAAACUGUAUAUCUUGAGUGCAGGAGAGGAGAGCGGAAUUCCUGGUGUAGCGGUGGAAUGCGUAGAUAUCAGGAAGAACACCAGUGGCGAAGGCGGCUCUCUGGCCUGCAACUGACGCUGAGGUACGAAAGCUGGGGGAGCGAACGGGAUUACAUACCCCGGCUAGUCCCAGCCGUAAACGAUGGACCCCMGGUGUUGGGGGUUCGAAUC